rnacentral:rRNA from 1 species
UAUAAUUUAAAGUCGGGCCUGCCCACUGAGAAAUUGAAGGGCCGCAGUAUUUUGACUGUGCAAAGGUAGCAUAAUCAUUAGUUUUUUAAUUGAAAGCUGGAAUGAAUGGUUUGAUGAAAAAAUUACUGUCUUAAAUUUAAUUUUAUAGAACUUUAUUUUUAAGUUAAAAAGCUUAAAUGCUUUUAAAAGACGAGAAGACCCUAUAGAGUUUAAUUUAUUUAAAAUUAUAAAUUUUUAGAAUUUAAUAGUUUUUAGUUUUAAAUAAAUUUGAUUGGGGUGAUUAAAAAAUUAAAUGAACUUUUUUUUUAUAAAUACAUAAAUUAAUG